rnacentral:lncRNA from 1 species
AUUCACCGCAGGUGCUGGCUAAGGGGUGAAGUGGGUGGAUAAAGAGGCCCAUAUCUGCAUCUUAGCCCCACCCCCAGCUCACCCGGUGACCCAGCGCCCAGGAAGGAGCUUCCUAGUGGCCUUCGUUUCUUUAUCUGUGGACAUAGAGCUUCCCAGGAACCGGGCGAGCACUGGUCUUGAUCUUGUAAAGAAGGGGACGCGGAGGGACUAGCAGCACGGAGAGGUGCACCGAGCAACAGGCUCC